GGGCUGGAGGGGAGCUGCUGCAUGGGUCUGGACCAACAUGCCCUAGAGGGGUAAAUGGGCCUGCAAGUGUUGGGUGUCCAUGCCCUCUCUGACAUGGAAACUUUAUGCUGAAACAUGCAAACCCUGGCACCUUAUGGCCCUGCUGUUCCCUGGCCCGUGGGGACAUUCUGCUUCCUUCCGUCCUUCUUUGCUAGGCUCUUCUUUGAAACUUAUGUAGGAAUCAAUGAUCCAAACUGGGGGCUGGAAUUCCAAGACACCCACUGGUGAUCAUUGCUCCCUGUUGCCUAAAUCAGCUGCCAUUCACAACUUAGCACAGUGGCAGAAAUUUCACAUAUGGGACAAGAAAAGGAGAGUGCUGCAGAAAUCUCUUUCUAGGGUUGAUUGACUGACUUCAAAGAAGAAUCAUCUCUGUCAUAACAGGUCUUAAUUAAAUUACGUUGCAUGUUAAUUUUCUCAAUGCCAAUCUUACUACCCUAAGCAGACUAUAAGACCCAAGUAGUCAGAAAAUUUUCAUCUCCUAAAUUGCCUAGCGUAGAGGGUAGCUGAUAACAGAUAUUUUAAAAAUAUUAAAUGUUUACAUGAGAUCAAAUCAAACGUGACUUAGCUUAUGAUUUCAUGAGACAUUUUGAAAAUUUUGAUAAAGAGGUGUGGUGGAAUAUAAGAAUUACUGUGUAUCUUCCUUUAUAUUCUCAUUACAAUUAGGCCUAAACAUUUUAGAUAUUUAUAAAUAAUGUUAAAACAAGGACAUUUAUUUGAUAAGAUACGGUAUCCAUAAGAAUGUUACAUUUAUGUCUGUCUUAAGAUAAAGUUUCAGAAAAAUCUGUUUCACAGCAAGAAAGAUUCCUUGAACUCUAGAGAUCUAGAAAGAUUUUGAAUUCAAGCAAAUGAUGCUUUUUAAAAUACUGUUCUAGCAUGGUGAGAAAUGCAUUUCCACUUAGUGAUUAUAGAGAUGGACAAUAAGCCCAGUUUCCUGGAAGGCUUAGUUGGGCUGGGAUGAUAAUGGCUCAAGAUUUGGCUUUCCAGAGAACAGUAAAAAAAAAAAAAAAAAAAAAAAAAAUUAUCUUUGAGGAUGUCCUUUAGGAAGGCUUCAUAAGCAUUUUCCCAAGGCUGAUAGCAUAAAACCCAACCCCUAGACAUAGCAUGAGGGCUUUCCCAAACUUCUUCUCCAGAUUCUUUCAUUGAUUAGCUUAUUCCUUCUUCUACCUGGCCUAAAGAACAUAUCCCAAAGCCAUGAAAAUAACCAUCUUUUCAGAACACCUAGAGCCACAGGUAGCUGGGAUGAUUGCUCCUAAUAUUUUGUUCUUCUCUACAUUAGAAUCUACACACUUUGUGAGGUGAGUUUGCAAUUUCUCCCACAGAAGCUUGGCUGUGCCUUGCAUUUUGGCCAAUGAAAUGUGACGGAAGUGACUCAUUCCAAGAAAAACUCUUAAGCGUUACUGAAAAACUUCUGUCUAGUCCUCUUAUGCUGUUACCAUUCUCCAUGUAAAGAACAUGCUGCAUACAGUAACAACUUGCAUGGAAAAUGAAGAGACACCUGGAACAGCCUACACGCAGACUCACUUCAGGAGGUAACCCCUGAUGGACACAUACUCUUGUCCUUGCAGGAGGCAGAAGAUGUCCCUUCUCUACUCUUCCAAGCAGUUUCAGUGCAAGUCCUGGACCUGGCUUCCUGCCCUAAUGAAGUCCCACACCCUAUGAUACGUUUGAAUAAUUGUCCCCUCUAAAACUCAUGUUGAAAUGUGACUCCUGCCUUGUGGAAGGUGUUUGGGUCAUGGGAGCAGAUCUCUCAUGAAUAGGUAUGUGUCCUCCCCAUGGUAAUGAGUUUACAUGAGAGCAGGUUAUUUUUUUAAGUAUGGCCCCUGCCCUCUCUGUCUCUUGCUCCUGCUGCUGCCAUCUGAUAUGCCAGCACCCUCUUUGCCUUACAUCAUGAUUCCAAGCAGAAGCAGAUGCUGGCACCAGGAUUCUCAUAGAGCCUGCAGAACCAUGAGCCAAACUAAACCUCUAUUCUUUAUAAAUAACCUAGUCUCAAGUAUUUCUUAACAGCAAUGCAAAAAC